UCUCCCUCUACAAAAGAAACAAGACUUCACAGGUUUAAGAUGAAGAACACGCGAUAUACGGAGACAGAGAAGGAGGAAGAAGAAGAAGAAGCAUACGAAGUUUCUGGUGCGACUAGUCCAAUGAACAACAAGGUUCAUCAACAAGAAGAUAAGACUCUGGAUGAAGAUACGCGACGAAGAAAGUAAGUAAAAUGUCAAUAGCAAA